UGGAUUAGGCAUGCAAGUCGAACGGGAAGCAGCGAAUGCUCCAGUGGCGCAAGGGUGAGGAACACGUGAACAACCUGCCUUCGAUUGGGGAUAGCUUCUGGAAACGGGAGAUAAUACCGAAUAACAUCACCGGAUCGCAUGAUCUGAUGAUCAAAGCAGCAAUGCGCUUGAAGAGGGGUUCGCGUCCCAUUAGCUAGUUGGUGAGGUAACGGCCCACCAAGGCGAUGAUGGGUAGCUGGUCUGAGAGGACGAUCAGCCACAUUGGGACUGAGAUACUGCCCAGACUCCUACGGGAGGCUGCAGUCGAGAAUUUUGGGCAAUGGACGAAAGUCUGACCCAAGCAAUGCCGCGUGCGGGAAUGAAGGUCUUCGGAUUGUAAACCGCUGUCAAGAGGGACGAAACAUGACGGUACCUCUGGAGGAAGCCACGGCUAACUACGUGCCAGCCGCCGC
rnacentral:rRNA from 1 species